UUCAUUAAUAUUCAUAGUUAUAAAAUCAGACCAGACCGAUAAACUAGUAACCGGAUACCUUAACCUACCUUAACUGGGUUAACAGUCGGGCUUUGUUUAAUAGGUAUCCAUUGCAUCCUUGUAGAAUGUUUAUUAACAUUAAAAAUACGAAGACCAUCAGCACUGGACAUUCCAAUUCAAAGCCAAGAAAGUGUGCUCACAUUACAUUCUUGAACAAAAAGGACUUUGCCUGUUUCAACUGUUUCUUUUCAACCCACUAUAUCCUCAGCGCUUAACUUUACAAUUCAAAGCCAUCACUCAUCAGCACCAAAUUUACCAUCAUGUAAUACAAAAAUAAAAAA
rnacentral:lncRNA from 1 species